rnacentral:rRNA from 1 species
GACGAACCGUCCUAACGUUGUUCGGAAUCACUGGGCUUAAAGGGCGCGUAGGCGGGCUCUCAAGUCCGGGGUGAAAUCUUUCGGCUCAACCGGAAAAUAGCCUUGGAUACUGGGAGUCUCGAGGGAGGUAGGGGCGGGUGGAACUUCCGGUGGAGCGGUGAAAUGCGUUGAUAUCGGAAGGAACGCCGGUGGCGAAAGCGACCCGCUGGACCUCUUCUGACGCUGAGGCGCGACAGCGUGGGGAGCAAACAGG